GAUCAUGGCUCAGGAUGAACGCUAGCUACAGGCUUAACACAUGCAAGUCGAGGGGAAACGACAUCGAAAGCUUGCUUUUGAUGGGCGUCGACCGGCGCACGGGUGAGUAACGCGUAUCCAACCUGCCCACCACUUGGGGAUAACCUUGCGAAAGUAAGACUAAUACCCAAUGACAUCCCACGAAGACAUCUGAAUGGGAUUAAAGAUUUAUCGGUGAUGGAUGGGGAGUGCGU
rnacentral:rRNA from 1 species